rnacentral:rRNA from 1 species
AAAUUGAAGAGUUUGAUCAUGGCUCAGAUUGAACGCUGGCGGCAGGCCUAACACAUGCAAGUCGAACGGUAACAGGAAGCAGCUUGCUGCUUUGCUGACGAGUGGCGGACGGGUGAGUAAUGUCUGGGAAACUGCCUGAUGGAGGGGGAUAACUACUGGAAACGGUGGCUAAUACCGCAUAACGUCGCAAGACCAAAGAGGGGGACCUUCGGGCCUCUUGCCAUAAGAUGUGCCCAGAUGGGAUUAGCUUGUUGGUGAGGUAACGGCUCACCAAGGCGACGAUCC